GCCGGUGAGGUCCUGAAGGUAGGACGCUCGGCCCGUACCCGAGAGGCAGCGGGUUCGAUCCCCGCCGCCGGCC
rnacentral:tRNA from 1 species